GUGCAGUGUGAUCUAGGAUCUGGUAGUGCAAUUGGAGACAAGGGAAAGAGAAUCCUUGGCUUCACAUCCUUGAUGACUACACCCAGUAUACUUGAAGAAGAAGAAGAGAUGCCUCGAGUAGAUGUUGUUUAUGAAAAUAUUCAAAACAUACCUCCUCUAUCGAAGACAUACAUCAAG